rnacentral:rRNA from 1 species
GACGAACGCUGGCGGCGUGCUUAACACAUGCAAGUCGAACGGAAAGGCCUCUUUCGUGGGGUACUCGAGUGGCGAACGGGUGAGUAACACAUGAGUAACCUGCCCUUGACUUUGGGAUAACUUCAGGAAACUGGCGCUAAUACCGGAUAGGAGCUCCUGCUGCAUGGUGGGGGUUGGAAAGUUUCGGCGGUUGGGGAUGGACUCGCGGCUUAUCAGCUUGUUGGUGGGGUAGUGGCUUACCAAGGCUUUGACGGGUAGCCGGACUGAGAGGGUGACCGGCCACAUUGGGACUGAGAUACGGCCCAGACUCCUACGGGAGGCAGCAGUGGGGAAUAUUGCACAAUGGGUGGAAGCCUGAUGCAGCAACGCCGUGUGCGGGAUGACGGCCUUCGGGUUGUAAACCGCUUUCGCUCAUGACGAAGCUUUGUGUGACGGUAGUGGGUAAAGAAGCACCGGCUAACUACGUG